rnacentral:rRNA from 1 species
UACGUAGGGUGCAAGCGUUAAUCGGAAUUACUGGGCGUAAAGCGUGCGCAGGCGGUUUUGUAAGUCUGUCGUGAAAUCCCCGGGCUCAACCUGGGAAUUGCGAUGGAGACUGCAAGGCUAGAAUCUGGCAGAGGGGGGGUAGAAUUCCACGUGUAGCAGUGAAAUGCGUAGAGAUGUGGAGGAACACCGAUGGCGAAGGCAGCCCCCUGGGUCAAGAUUGACGCUCAUGCACGAAAGCGUGGG